ACUUCCUCAUGACGUUAAUAUUAUUACAAUGGCCUUGGAUUGUCUGACCUCAGUAGCUGUUAACACCGAGUAAUAUCUGUAUCAGGCCCUACCUAGAGCAUAUAGCUGAGUGGGAGUAAAUAAACAAGAUGCACAUGCCUGUUGAUGGCCACGAGAGAGAGAGAAAUCAGGAAUAAACUUUAAGUUAUGAGGAAGUUCAGACACUUCCAGAAUUUCUUUUCCUCCUGCAUAGGAU
rnacentral:misc_RNA from 1 species